rnacentral:rRNA from 1 species
AACGAACGCUGGCGGCAUGCCUAAUACAUGCAAGUCGAACGAGAUCUUCGGAUCUAGUGGCGCACGGGUGCGUAACGCGUGGGAAUCUGCCCUUGGGUUCGGAAUAACUUCUGGAAACGGAAGCUAAUACCGGAUGAUGACGUAAGUCCAAAGAUUUAUCGCCCAAGGAUGAGCCCGCGUAGGAUUAGCUAGUUGGUGAGGUAAAGGCUCACCAAGGCGACGAUCCUUAGCUGGUCUGAGAGGAUGAUCAGCCACACUGGGACUGAGACACGGCCCAGACUCCUACGGGAGGCAGCAGUAGGGAAUAUUGGACAAUGGGCGAAAGCCUGAUCCAGCAAUGCCGCGUGAGUGAUGAAGGCCUUAGGGUUGUAAAGCUCUUUUACCCGGGAUGAUAAUGACAGUACCGGGAGAAUAAGCUCCGGCUAACUCCGUGCCAGCAGCCGCCGCAGUAA